rnacentral:lncRNA from 1 species
UCCACAUCUGCUGACCCACCAGAAGCAUCCCACGCACUCCGCAGGCCCAGCCCCUCUGCCAGGUCUGUCCUCCAUCCUUCCUUGCCAUACUGUACCUGGGACCACAAGUCCACCUGUUUCCAGCAGUUCACACCAAAGCGCUGCUCAGGAGAUGACACAGCCCUCAGAAGCAGUCUCCUCCACAGCUCCUCCACCCUCCCCACAGGAGGCCUAGGCCUCCUUGAUACACCUGCGAUGGCCAACAGCGACACGGAGACGCCCAGGACCAUCUGGAACCUGCCAGAAAACACAAGAAAACACCCACCCCAUGGCCCAGGCACUGCGCCCAGGUGCCCAGGCCACCAGUCGCCAGCCUUGUGCUUGCUCCCUGUGGCCACACAGCAGGCUUUCAGAACCCCACUUACAAGGGCUCGGACUAAGGAAAUGAGUAUGGUGCGAUUAGUGUAUGAGUGUUUUUAAUUCCCAACCAUGUGAAACCACAAAAGGUAUGGUAACCAACACCCUCAUGAGCCCCAACCCCCAGAUAUCGUAAUAACCAUCAACCAACUCAAUUCCCAAACUAGUACCUCCAAAAGACUGGUCUAAGAGCACUGGGUGAGAACAAGGCCUACCUAUUAGACGUCUUUCAGGUGUGGGAGAAAGAACGUAAACUGUGUGGGUCACGGCACAGCAUGCUCCUUCACUUCCAACAUGGCAGCCCUGGUCACCAACUGCUCCCCCCCCCAAGUACAGGUGAGACACUUCUUUAAGUAAAAUGAGAAAAGUUAACCAAGGAACCAUCCUCCCCUCCUCGGACAAAACUACAGAAAGAAACAUACAAUCCCCCCUGCUCUAACUUAAAGAAGAUAUUUGUAAAAAUACUUCAUUUUUAGUGAUUGAUCAACAAAACUGGGCUCCUCCUCUGCUCUUUUGCUGGUGACAGAAGAAUCAUGUGCUUUGCUGAAAUGAUCCUAGCAGUGAGGAGUAGCCACUCAAGCAUCCACAGACAUACACACAGCCCAGGGACCAGGAUUAAAGGGAGAAAAUAUAAAUGGAACCACAAGAUCCCUCAGCCAUUCAUAAAUAAAUAUCUAAAUUCAGAAUACUAAUUAAUAAUUGAAUUUUCAUUUAUGAAUAGGUUCUGGAUAUUUAAUUGUAUUUAUUAUUUUCUACUUCAGGAUAUUAAUAUAAUUUAAAAAUUUUAAAUUGUACCUAUAAAUUUCACAUUAGAAAUGUAAAUACUUUUAAUGAAAAUUUG